UAGGGAAUCUUCGGCAAUGGACGGAAGUCUGACCGAGCAACGCCGCGUGAGUGAAGAAGGUUUUCGGAUCGUAAAGCUCUGUUGUAAGAGAAGAACGAGUGUGAGAGUGGAAAGUUCACACUGUGACGGUAUCUUACCAGAAAGGGACGGCUAACUACGUGCCAGCAGCCGCGGUAAUACGUAGGUCCCGAGCGUUGUCCGGAUUUAUUGGGCGUAAAGCGAGCGCAGGCGGUUAGAUAAGUCUGAAGUUAAAGGCUGUGGCUUAACCAUAGUAGGCUUUGGAAACUGUUUAACUUGAGUGCAAGAGGGGAGAGUGGAAUUCCAUGUGUAGCGGUGAAAUGCGUAGAUAUAUGGAGGAACACCGGUGGCGAAAGCGGCUCUCUGGCUUGUAACUGACGCUGAGGCUCGAAAGCGUGGGGAGCAAACAGGAUUAGAUACCCUGGUAGUCCACGUUGUAAACGAUGAGUGCUAGGUGUUAGACCCUUUCCGGGGUUUAGUGCCGUAGCUAACGCAUUAAGCACUCCGCCUGGGGAGUACGACCGCAAGGUUG
rnacentral:rRNA from 1 species